rnacentral:rRNA from 1 species
UGACGUGUGCGCUAGUCUUGGGGACUUAGCCAUGCAAGCCAGCGAAGCGGCGCGGAGCGGCGGACGGCUCAGUAGGACGGCGAUAAUCCACCCGCAGCAGAGACAAGGAUAACCGCGGCAAGCUGCGGCUAAGACAUGGACAGGCUGCGGCGCGGGGAGGCGCGGGCAGCGGACAGGGAGCGGCUGCGGCGGAGUUGCUGGCCCAUCAGCUGGUAGGUAGGGUAAGGGCCUACCUAGGCGACGACGGGUGACGGGGGGUGAGAGCCCGGAACCGGAGAGGGAGCCUGAGAAACAGCUCCCACGUCCAAGGACGGCAGCAGGCGCGGAACUUGCCCAAUCCCGGCGGGGGAGGCAGCCACAAGACGUGGGGGCCCGGAACGCACGGCAAAGGAGUGCGGGGCGACUGGAGGGCAAGUCUGGUGCCAGCAGCCGCGGUAAUUCCAGCUCCAGGAGCGCACAUGAGUGUUGCUGCAGUUAAAACGUCCGUAGUCGGCCCGGGCGCGCUGUGAGGAAACCGCGGGGCCCAAGGCGGCGGGCAGCACGGGAGCGGGGGCGACAGGAACGGACAACGGCCGCGGGAUCCGGGGGCGAGAGGUGAAAAUCGGGGACCCCGCGGGGACGGGCGGAAGCGAAGGCGGCGGCCGGGGACGUGUCCGUUGAUCAAGGACGAAGGCCGGAGGAUCAAAGAUGAUUAGAUACCGUCGUAGUUCCGGCAGUAAACGAUGCCGACGGGGCGAGGCCAGGGGGCUGUGUCCGGGAGAAAUUGGAGUGUUUGGGCUCUGGGGAUAGUACGGUCGCAAGACAGAAACUUAAAGAAAUUGACGGAAGGACACCACAAGGAGUGGAGUGUGCGGCUUAAUUUGACUCAACGCGGGGCAGCUUACCAGGGCCGGAUGCGCGGGAGAUUGGCGGCGGAGCGCCCCCGAGAUUGCGCAGGGAGUGGGUGCAUGGCCGUUUGCAACACGUGGGGUGACCUGUCUGGUUGAUUCCGACAACGCGUGAGGCCUGGGGUGCAGCAGGGGCUGUGCGACGGGCGGCGGCAAGCUGCAGGAGGGCAGGCGAAAACAGGUCAGUGAUGCCCUCAGAUGCUCUGGGCUGCACGCGCACUACAAUGGCGCGGCGAGCGGGAAUGCCGGGAGGCGCGGGCCGAGCCGUGGCGCAGCAGGGAUGGGGGCCUGGAAGGGUGCCCUGAACGAGGAAUUCCUAGUAGCCGCGGGUCACCAAGCCGCGGCGAAUGAGUCCCUGUUCUUUGUACACACCGCCCGUCACUACCUAAGAUGGAUGUGCAGGCGAGGAGGCUGGGCAGGCACCCGAGCCUGUGCAACUAGAUAAGGUAU